rnacentral:rRNA from 1 species
UUGACCUCGGAUCAGGUAGGGAUACCCGCUGAACUUAAGCAUAUCAAUAAGCGGAGGAAAAGAAACCAACAGGGAUUGCCCCAGUAACGGCGAGUGAAGCGGCAAGAGCUCAAAUUUGAAAGCUGGCUCCUUCGGGGUCCGCAUUGUAAUUUGUAGAGGAUGCUUCGGGAGCGGUCCCCAUCUAAGUGCCCUGGAACGGGACGUCAUAGAGGGUGAGAAUCCCGUAUGGGAUGGGGUGUCCGCGCCCGUGUGAAGCUCCUUCGACGAGUCGAGUUGUUUGGGAAUGCAGCUCUAAAUGGGUGGUAAAUUUCAUCUAAAGCUAAAUAUUGGCCGGAGACCGAUAGCGCACAAGUAGAGUGAUCGAAAGAUGAAAAGCACUUUGAAAAGAGAGUUAAAAAGCACGUGAAAUUGUUGAAAGGGAAGCGCUUGCGACCAGACUCGCUCGCGGGGUUCAGCCGGCAUUCGUGCCGGUGUACUUCCCCGCGGGCGGGCCAGCGUCGGUUUGGGCGGUCGGUCAAAGGCCCUCGGAAGGUAACGCCCCUAGGGGCGUCUUAUAGCCGAGGGUGCAAUGCGACCUGCCUAGACCGAGGAACGCGCUUCGGCUCGGACGCUGGCAUAAUGGUCGUAAGCGACC